AUGAACAAUCCUGAACACUAUUGCUACUAUUCUAUUGCUACUCAUUCCGGUCUUAACCUCAUGGCACUGACUGAGACUUGGAUCAAACCUGAAGACACUGCCACUCCCGCAGCCCUCUCCACUAAUUUCACUUGUUCCCACACCCCUCGUAUGACUGGGAGGGGUGGAGGUACUGGUCUCCUUAUAUCAAAAGAUUGGAAAUUUGAUCUUCAACCACCACCUACAGGUAACGGUUCAUUUGAAUCACAUGCUAUUACUGUAACCCACCCUGUUAAAAUCCACUUUGUGGUCAUUUUUCUUCCCCCAGGUCAAUUGGGAAACUUCUUGGAGGAGUUGGACGUGCUGCUAUCAAACUAUCCUGAAGAUGGUACUCCUCUGGUACUGCUUGGUGACUUCAACAUCCACCUAGAUAAACCCCAGGCUGCUGACUUCAACACUCUGCUCGCCUCAUUUGAUCUCAAGCGAGUGUCUACUACAGCGACUCACAAAUCAGGCAACCAACUGGACCUCAUCUAUACACGCUGUUGCUCCAUGGACAACCCUUUAGUUGCUCCACUGCACACCUCAGACCACUUCCUCAUUACUGCUAACCUAGCACUUACUCCUGAAGUGGCACACGCUCCAAUGCAGGUCACCUUUCGAUGGAACCUACGCUCACUCUCUCCAUCUGGCCUAUCCUCUGUGGUUUCAUCCUCACUUCCUUCACUCUCUCAGUUUUCAGCUCUGGACACGAACAGUCCUACGGACACUUUUUGCUCCACUCUAACCUCUUGCUUGGAUAACUUUUGCCCACUGUCGUCUAGACCGGCACGCACCACCCCAUCUGCCCCCUGGCUGUCCGAUGUUCUCCGUGAACAUCGCUCUAAACUCAGGGCUGCAGAGAGGAAAUGGCAUAAAUCAGGAAACUCUACUGACCUCAGUGUGUAUCAGUCUCUCCUCUCUUCCUUCUCUGCAAAUGUCUUCACUGCUAAAACAUCAUACUAUCACAACAAAAUUAACAACUGUUGUGACGCUCGGACACUCUUCAAAACUUUCUCUUCUCUUCUUAAUCCGCCUCCACCUCCUCCUCCAUCGACUCUUACAGCUGACGACUUUGCAGUUUUCUUCACAAAUAAGACAAGAACCAUCAGUGACCAAUUCUCCACACUGUAA
ensembl:lncRNA